UUUCAUGAGCGAGGAGGGAGUUUGGGUGAUGAUGUGCAUGUGGAUUUGGUAAAUAGCGAGGCCGUGGAGGACCUCAAAGUGAUUGCGGAGCGGAUGAUUCGAUCAGGCUAUGAAAAGGAAUGCGUUCAAGUUUAUAGNNNNNNNNNNNNGAUGCUUUGGAUGAGUGUUUGGUGAUUUUGGGAGUUGAGAAACUCAGUAUAGAAGAGGUGCAGAAAAUUGACUGGAAAAGUUUGGACGAGAAAAUGAGGAAAUGGAUACAGGCUAUUAAGAUUGGAAUCAGGGUUCUGUUGGCUGGAGAGAAGAGGCUUUGUGAUUAUAUUUUUAACGGGUCUGAUUCGGCUAAGGAAAUUUGUUUUAAUGAGACUGCAAAGGGGUG
rnacentral:misc_RNA from 1 species